UACAGAGGGUGCAAGCGUUGUUCGGAAUUAUUGGGCGUAAAGGGAGUGUAGGCGGUUAGUUAAGUCUUCUGUGAAAUCUACGGGCUUAGCCUGUAACGUGCAGAGGAAACUGGCUGACUUGAGUAUCGGAGAGGGCAGGGGAAUACCCAGUGUAGAGGUGAAAUCGUAGAGAUUGGGUGGAACACCAGUGGCGAAGGCGCCUGCCUGGCUGAUUACUGACGGCUGAGACACGAAAGCGUGGGGAGCAAACAGG
rnacentral:rRNA from 1 species